rnacentral:rRNA from 1 species
UCAUUAAACAGUUAUAGUUUAUUUGAUAAUCGAAAGUUACAUGGAUAACCGUGACAAAUUACAGCUAAUACAUGCAGUCAGACCUGGUUCAAGGGUCGUAAUUAUUAGAUAUUAAACCAAUUCCCUCGGGAUUGUGACGAAUCAUAGUAAUCGAACGAAUCGCAGCGUGCUGCGAUAAAUCAUUCAAGUUUCUGCCCUAUCAGCUUUGGAUGGUAGUGUAUUGGACUACCAUGGCAGUCACGGGUAACGGAGAAUUAGGGUUCGAUUCCGGAGAGGGAGCCUGAGAAACGGCUACCACAUCUACGGAAGGCAGCAGGCGCGAAAAUUGCCCAAUCCUGACUCAGGGAGGCAGUGACAAGAAAUAACUACCCUAGGAUUUCUUAGGAGUGUAAUGAGGAUAAUUUACAAACCUUACCGAAAGCAAUUGGAGGGCAAGUCUGGUGCCAGCAGCCGCGGUAAUUCCAGCUCCAAUAGCGUAUAUUAAAGUUGUUGCAGUUAAAAAGCUCGUAGUUGAAACUCUGGUUGUUGAGGCUGCUUGUCUUCUGACGAGAGUUCUUACAGCCAUCCGCUUGUAAGUAUAUGUUCACUCUUAACUGGGUGACUAUGCGAGCAAGCACUUUACCUUGAGAAAAACAGAGUGUUCCAGGCAGGCUUGUCCGGAAUGCAUUAGCAUGGAAUAAUAGAAUAUGACUGAGGUCUAUUUAUUGGUUUAAGGCCACAGUAAUGAUUAAUAGGAACAGUCGGGGGCAUUAGUACUUGACAGUCAGAGGUGAAAUUCUUGGAUUUGUCAAAGACUAACUGAUGCGAAAGCGUUUGUCAAGGAUGUUUUCAUUAAUCAAGAACGAAAGUUAGGGGAUCAAAGACGAUCAGAUACCGUCCUAGUCUUAACUAUAAACUAUACCGACUCGGAUUCAGAUGAAUCAAAAAGUUCAUUUGGGACCGUAGGAGAAAUCAAAGUCUUUGGGUUCUGGGGGGAGUAUGGUCGCAAGGCUGAAACUUAAAGGAAUUGACGGUUUUGCACCACCAUGGAGUGGAGCCUGCGGCUUAAUUUGACUCAACACUGGGAAACUCACCAGGGCAAGAAGAUUGUAGGAUUGACAGAUUGAGAGUUCUUUCUUGAUUGGUCUAGUGGUGGUGCAUGGCCGUUCUUAGUUGGUGGAGUGAUUUGUCUGGUUAAUUCCGUUAACGAACGAGACCUUAACCUGCUAACUAGUACGAAUAUCCAAAAUGUUCGUUACUUCUUAGAGGGACUAUGUGAUGUAAUCACAUGGAAGUUUGAGGCAAUAACAGGUCUGUGAUGCCCUUAGAUGUCCUGGGCCGCACGCGUGCUACAAUGACACAUUCAACGAGUAUUUCCUGAUCCGACAGGAUUCGGGUAAUCUUUUUAGUGUGUGUCGUGUUAGGGAUAGAUCUUUGUAAUUAUGGAUCUUGAACGAGGAAUUCCUAGUAAGCGCAAGUCAUCAGCUUGUGCUGAUUACGUCCCUGCAAAAUGUACACACCGCCCGUCGCUAUUGCCGAUUGAGUGCUCAGGUGAACCUUCUUGAUUGCUGCAAAGUGAAAAAUUAAGUAAACCUUAGCACUUAGAGGGAAUAAAAGUCGUAACAAGGUUUCC